AUUGAACGCUGGCGGAAUGCUUUACACAUGCAAGUCGAACGGCAGCACGGACUUCGGUCUGGUGGCGAGUGGCGAACGGGUGAGUAAUGUAUCGGAACGUGCCCAGUCGUGGGGGAUAACGUAGUGAAAAUUACGCUAAUACCGCAUACGAUCUAUGGAUGAAAGCGGGGGAUCGCAAGACCUCGCGCGAUUGGAGCGGCCGAUAUCAGAUUAGGUAGUUGGUGGGGUAAAGGCCCACCAAGCCAACGAUCUGUAUCGGGUCUGAGAGGACGACCAGCCACAAUGGAACUGAGACACGGUCCAGACUCCUACGGGAGGCAGCAGUGGGGAAUUUUGGACAAUGGGCGAAAGCCUGAUCCAGCCAUUCCGCGUGCAGGAUGAAGGCCCUCGGGUUGUAAACUGCUUUUGUACAGAACGAAAAGGUUUCUACUAAUACUAGGAGCUCAUGACGGUACUGUAAGAAUAAGCACCGGCUAACUACGUGCCAGCCGCCGCCGUAA
rnacentral:rRNA from 1 species